AGCAGCCGCGGUAAUUCCAGCUCCAAUAGCGUAUAUUAAAGUUGUUGCAGUUAAAAAGCUCGUAGUUGAAUUUCGGGGUCAAUAAGUUGGUCAUGCCAAUGGUAUGUACUGGCUUUAUUGAUUCCUACCUCUUGACGAACUGUGAUGCCAUUAAUUUGGUGUUGCAAGGAAUCAGGACUGUUACCUUGAAAAAUUAGAGUGUUUAAAGCAAGCUUACGCUUGAAUACAUUAGCAUGGAAUAAUGAAAUAGGACGUUUGAUCCUAUUUUGUUGGUUUCUAGGAUCGACGUAAUGAUUAAUAGGGAUAGUUGGGGGCAUUAGUAUUCAAUUGUCAGAGGUGAAAUUCUUGGAUUUAUUGAAGACUAACUACUGCGAAAGCAUUUGCCAAGGAUGUUUUCAUUAAUCAAGAACGAAAGUUAGGGGAUCGAAGACGAUCAGAUACCGUCGUAGUCUUAACCAUAAACUAUGCCGACUAGGGAU
rnacentral:rRNA from 1 species